AUCCUUUUGAGAUUCAUUAUCAUGAUGAUUGGAUUUUCACACCAUGUGUGAGAUGUGCCUCUUUCAUCAGUCAUGACGUUGGCACAGUACUUGUCUGAUG